rnacentral:rRNA from 1 species
GAAUUCGAUUCGGUGUGACAAGGCCCGGGAACGUAUUCACCGCGGCGUGCUGAUCCGCGAUUACUAGCGAUUCCAACUUCAAGCAGGCGAGUUGCAGCCUGCUAUCCGAACUGAGACCGGCUUUCUCCGAUUAGCUCCACCUUGCGGCUUUGCGACGGUUUGUACCGGCCAUUGUAGCACGUGUGUAGCCCCAGACAUAAAGGCCAUGCUGACUUGACGUCAUCCCCACCUUCCUCCGGUUUAUCACCGGCAGUCUUUGCAGAGUGCCCAGCAUAACCUGAUGGCAACAGCAAACAAGGGUUGCGCUCGUUGCGGGACUUAACCCAACAUCUCACGACACGAGCUGACGGCAGCCAUGCAGCACCUCUACGAGUGUCCUUGCGGAAGCUCCCUUUCGGGAGUGGUCACUCGCUGUUCAAGCCUGGGUAAGGUUCUUCGCGUUAAUCACUA